UACGGAGGGUGCAAGCGUUAUCCGGAUUCACUGGGUUUAAAGGGUGCGUAGGUGGGUCUGUACGUCCGUGGUGAAAUCUCCGAGCUUAACUUGGAAACUGCCAUGGAUACUAUAGAUCUUGAAUACUGUGGAGGUUAGCGGAAUAUGUCAUGUAGCGGUGAAAUGCUUAGAUAUGACAUAGAACACCAAUUGCGAAGGCAGCUGGCUACACAAAUAUUGACACUGAUGCACGAAAGCGUGGGGAUCAAACAGG
rnacentral:rRNA from 1 species